ensembl:snoRNA
UUCUGUGAUGAAACUGCUAUAUAGGAAGUGCCGUCUGAUGCGAGAACUGACGAGGGCAAAGCAAACUCAUUCUGAGA